GAUCCAGGCCAAUGUAGAUGAGCGGAUGCUAAGCCUCCGGAAGUUGAAUGACAUACCAUUCCUGUCAUUGAAAACUCAUAUCAAUAACAACAUUCUUUAGAUUCAAAAUGGUUACUUUUUUUUAUGUUUAAUCUAUUCAUUGUUUAUUUAUAAACGUAAAUGAACAUGAAAUGAUUAAUUUUCUGAGUUGUUCAGGUGCAAUAUUAAAGUGUGUAAAUAGAACCCUGGCUCUCGCCUGAAAUUUCUCCCCGCGAAAAGUUUAUUCAUUUGUCAGUCCAUUACAGGAUUUAAACAAAAGAAAUAUUUUCAUUUAAUUUUUGCACAAGUUUUAUGACAAAAUAUGGAGGAUUAUAAAUUUAUCAUGUAAAUUAACUCGACAUCAUAGAUACCAGGAGGGAAAUUUAUGCUUGCGCUAUACGCGUUUUCCUCCAAGAAAGUUUCAUUAACUUUGACCACGGUUUUACAAAUAAUUUAUAUGUACCAAAUUUUAACCUCAGAAUGUAAAUACUUCAAGAUUCCACGAAUUACGGGAAAAUUCAUCAUGUAUAAUUUCGUCAUGAUGCACUGGAUACUCUUUUGACCAUAAACAGUUUUUGUCCAGCUAUCGUAAAAUCAUACGAUGGUUUGACAAAGUUAUUGAUAUAUUAAAACUUCAACCUCAUACUGAACCUACAUCUACACAGUUAUAAUUAAAAAAAAUGCAAACCACAUUUCGAAUCUAAGUACAUAAGGAAUUGCUUUAAAAAAGGAAAGCGAGUAUAGAAAUCACGGUAGAUUUAAAAUUUGAC
rnacentral:lncRNA from 1 species